rnacentral:lncRNA from 1 species
GGGCCGCCGCCUGCCGCGGCCUGGGCGCGGGGGUCGCUGGAAGGGGCGAGACCCGGCGCCCGUGGCCGCUUUGUCUGUCCGCGUGGCCGGAACCGCGCGAGCGUUUGGGAGCUGGUGCGGCGCUGCAGGGCCUGGAGGAGGUAGUCUGCGCUGGUGGUAGUCAAAAACUCAGAGAUGGGACUUCAGUGUUACCAACUAAAGCUCCACUUGGAAGCAAGAGAUUUGCAGGAGCACAAAGGAGAAUUACAUCAAUAACUGCUCAAGUACUGUCAGACAGCACUGCUUGCUGUUUUCCCUGUGUGGAAAUCACUUGCAUGAGAAAACAAAAUUCAGGAUGGUCAAUUAUCAGAGUUCUGGCUACAACUCCACUCUCCGAGAUAGCCCUAUGGAACAGUCCCUGUUCCAGAGGAGGCAGGACCUGAGAAGCAGGAAUGACUAUCCAGUAAUGGUGACAGAGCCUGGAUCACCUCCAAAAUUUAUGAUGUUUUCCUGUACCCAUAGAGGGGCUGCCAAUUGAUCCAAAUAUCCUGUUUCCGUGGGCAUCUACAUCACCAGUACUGAAAAGGGGGGAGUAUAGAUUACUUUACAAGGUUUUAGCUUUCAGUAAGAUUGUGUGAGAAACAAGCAAACAAAACAGUAACAGACAAACUACAAAUUUUGUACAAGUGCUUUGGAAGAAAGCCAGCACAACAUCUUACCUAAAAUAGCCAAGGAUGCCUACUCGAUAUUGAAUUGCUACAAACACUAUGCUUUCAAAGACUGAUAGCGCUGAGCCAUCGUAUGUUGAAGCUGCACCCAGCAUUAAUGCACCUCCAGGCCUCCACACAACAACCUGAAGAAACACAGACAGGGUCAGUGUUGUUUAUCUGCAAAUCUAAACCCAUGGAUUUCAAAUCAGAAGUCAUUUCAUGUUGAUUGCUAAUUGAUCGCUAAAGAUACAGCUCUAUUUUGUGCUGCAUGCAGAUACUGCUAUUGUAAUCUCAAGCAACUAAGAGCAUUAGAUUAAAAAAAGUUAUAGGAAUCUUUGAAUAUUAGAAUCUUAAAGAGUAAAGUUGUUUAAAGAAGCACUAUUAAGUAUUUAUAUUACAUAUAUUCCCUGAGACUUUCAAGAGUUUUAAAAAUAGAAAAGUUGCAUUAGGAUACCUUAAAUACAUUUUAAUAAAUAUUUAAUUGUAAAAUAUUAAGGGGGUUGU